CUGCAUCUCUUGCACAAAUGAGCUCCUUGGAUUCAGGGCAGUUGAGUCUUCUGACCUAGUUGUGGGUAGUACUGAUAUGAAGCUAGGUUGAUCAACAAACAGCUCGUGACAGGACCAGAAGGAUAUGAUACAAACUACUAUGAUACAUACAAGAUACAUCCUAUGGAGGAAAUACAAUGGAAAACCAAAGACAGUCAGCAGCCUGUCUCCUGUGCCUUGUUCUGAGCUGUGAGGGUGCAGCAUACUCAACCCAUGCAAAAACACCCAGCUGUGAGCGCAGUAAAUCUGGCCCAGCUGUUCCCUGACAGUGCGGCGACUGGACUGCAGAACAGGCGAGCUCUGCUCCCUGCAGGAUAUACGUGACUGAAGCUGGCUGAAAUUUAUUGCUUGUCUCUAAGUGUCAGAGUUGGCUUCUGCUGCCUUUGGAUGUGGAGAUACAGGAUGCUGACAGCUGGGAGGAAAAAUGAAAUUCAGAGCCAGAUGUGAUAAUGAACUCCUUUGCACCCUUCUCUGCUCUGCCAGUCUCCUGCUCAGGUAUUGCACUGGACCAGGACGAUGAACUUCCACUGCUUCAGGAGCUGCAUUAAAAAGGAGGCAGAGGAGAAGAGAAGAGCUGCUCUUGGUCCACAGAGGAAAGGCACUGACCUAAAUACGACUCCAUCAGUGCAUUGCUCUCGGCAUUGCUUGGUUUGCAUUUUUCCAUCGCCUCAUGCAAAGGCUGCAGUGCUGCCUUGUGCCAGGCUGCACCGGGGCAGCGGCCGGCCAGCCCGGGGCAGCUGCCCCCGAUGCCCUGCACCACCUUCCUCUGCUUUCUUUGCAUCUCCCCUUGAAGCCCCAGGACCAGCCCAGCCCCUAUGUAAUCUGAAAAGUUAUGAGUGCACAGCCCUGCUGAGUUGCUGUUCUUUUCUUCUUUUCCUUAACACCCUGUGAAGUGUCUAAUGAAAUAGGACUGAUAAAGUGACUCAACUAACGAUCCCCAAACAGUUCAGCUAAGUGUCAUUCCUUUGAAGAUCUUCACACUUUUUUUUUCCCCCUUCUUAGCUGCUGUUUCAAAUGUCUUAAAUG